rnacentral:lncRNA from 1 species
ACUGCAUUAAUUGUAAAAACAAAGAUAGAUUAGCAUGUAAAAUUUCGUAUCUUGUGUAGACUACAAACAACACAGUCGCAGUUAGCACGAUAAUUUCUAGAUUGAUGGACGUAGGAGGUUGUCUGUUGAUCUGGUAUGCAUACCAGUCUCAGGAGAUGCCACAGUUCUUACAAUUCUCCAUCUAUUAUAAUAACAUUAAGUGUACUUUAUCUUAGGGUCUUGGACAAUAAUUUUGUAUUACUAUAAAUUAGAGGAUCUGGUUCCAAAGAGAAUCGAACCAAACUAAGUACCAAUGGAUAUCUUAAAAAUGGAACCACUACUUUCGUCUCUAAGAAUGGAACUGGGUCAAACCAUCAUUUCAACAAGGAUAAUCGGCUAUUAUUGUAUUUGUAAUUAAUUAAUUGUUUUGACUCCUAGCUUGACCCGAUUAACUCUUUGACCCUUCACAUUUUGUGGUUCAGACAACUUAAACCACAAUAUUAUUAUUCAUGAUAUGAAAUCUGACAAAAAGAAUAGUCAAAUAACUAAAGAAAUGAAUAAUUUAUCUACAUGCAUCAAGGCAUAAUAUCACUACCUGGAAGGAAGCCAGCAUCCUGACGCUUCUCUGCCCAGGAAAAACUGCAUUAAUUGUAAAAACAAAGAUAGAUUAGCAUGUAAAAUUUCUUAUCUUGUGUAGACUACAAACAACACAGUCGCAGUUAGCACGAUAAUUUCUAGAUUGAUGGACGUAGGAGGUUGUCUGUUGAUCUGGUAUGCAUACCAGUCUCAGGAGAUGCCACAGUUCUUACAAUUCUCCAUCUAUUAUAAUAACAUUAAGUGUACUUUAUCUUAGGGUCUUGGACAAUAAUUUUGUAUUACUAUAAAUUAGAGGAUCUGGUUCCAAAGAGAAUCGAACCAAACUAAGUACCAAUGGAUAUCUUAAAAAUGGAACCACUACUUUCGUCUCUAAGAAUGGAACUGGGUCAAACCAUCAUGUUCGGUCCAAUUCGAUUCCUUCAAUUGAAGUUCUCAAAUUCGCCAACCGAUGCUAGUGGAAUAUCUAUGUUCUCCAACAUCUCUUCAUUAAAAAUGAUUUACGUUAAUGCUAAAUGCAAAAUUACAUAUAUGGUACAUUUGUGUGAUAGUUUAUAUAUAACACCAUAAUGAACCCCGGGCUCAAGUUUAUCAGCUGAUAUACUAGGGAAGUUCGCAAGAAAAUAGUAAUAAAAAAUAAAAAUUCCAUGUUAAUCCGGGCUUUUGGUUCUUGGUAUUAGAAUCGAGAAUAGGAUCCAAACUACCCAAUUCUCGAUUAUAAUACCCAGAACGAUAAGAAAUUGAGUAGAAUCUGACCAUACCGGCACUUCUGGUCCAGUUUUGGUUUAGUCCAACAGUUUCGUUAACUUUUGCCCACCCCCAUAAAUGAAUCACCACGAGAAGGUCAGACUAUACGAUUCUUUGUUUCAAAUCAACCAUAACUCAAAGAUGUUGAUAGAUGAAGCAAAGUGGCAAAGGCAACUUACA